AAUGCCCGCAAGGGUGAUCCAGCCAUGCCGCGUGCAGGAAGACGGACCUAUGGUUUGUAAACUGCUUUUGAACAAGAGAAAACCCCCUUACGUGUAAGGGGCUGAUAGUAUUGUUAGAAUAAGCAUCGGCUAACUUCGUGCCAGCAGCCGCGGUAAGACGAAGGAUGCAAGCGUUAUCCGGAUUCAUUGGGUUUAAAGGGAGCGUAGGCGGCUUGAUAAGUCAGUGGUGAAAUCUUCUCGCUUAACGAGAAAACUGCCAUUGAUACUGUCAAGCUUGAGUACAGUUGCCGUUGGCGGAAUAUGACAUGUAGUGGUGAAAUACAUAGAGAUGUCAUAGAACACCGAUUGCGAAGGCAGCUAACGAAACUGUAACUGACGCUGAGGCUCGAAAGUGCGGGGAUCAAA
rnacentral:rRNA from 1 species